rnacentral:rRNA from 1 species
UACGUAGGUGGCGAGCGUUGUCCGGAAUUACUGGGUGUAAAGCGCGCGUAGGCGGUCGGCUAUGUCUGCGGUGAAAUCGCUCGGCUCAACUGGGCGGGGUCCGUGGAAACUGGUCGACUGGAGGACGGUAGAGGCAAGUGGAAUUCCCGGUGUAGUGGUGAAAUGCGUAGAGAUCGGGAGGAACACCAGUGGCGAAGGCGGCUUGCUGGGCCGGACCUGACGCUGAGGCGCGAAGGCGUGGGGAGCGAACGGG